rnacentral:rRNA from 1 species
UAGUCCACGCCGUAAACGAUGUAUGCUUGGUGUUAGAACAAAUUGUUGUUCUAGUGCCGGAGAUAAUUCGUUAAGCAUACCACCUGGGAAGUACGAUCGCAAGGUUGAAACUCAAAGGAAUUGACGGGGGCCCGCACAAGCGGUGGAGCAUGUGGUUUAAUUCGAUGCAACGCGAAGAACCUUACCAGCCCUUGACAUCCUCGGAACUUUCUAGAAAUAGAUUGGUGCCUUCGGGAACCGAGUGACAGGUGCUGCAUGGCUGUCGUCAGCUCGUGUCGUGAGAUGUUGGGUUAAGUCCCGUAACGAGCGCAACCCUUGUCCUUAGUUGCCAGCAUUUCGGAUGGGAACUCUAAGGAGACUGCCGGUGACAAACCGGAGGAAGGUGGGGAUGGACGUCAAGUCAUCAUGGCCCUUAUGGGGCUGGGGCUACACACGUGCUACAAUGGCCGGUACAGA